rnacentral:rRNA from 1 species
GACGAACGCCGGCGGCGUGCUUAACACAUGCAAGUCGAACGGAAAGGCCCUGCUUUUGUGGGGUGCUCGAGUGGCGAACGGGUGAGUAACACGUGAGUAACCUGCCCUUGACUUUGGGAUAACUUCAGGAAACUGGGGCUAAUACCGGAUAGGAGCUCCUGCUGCAUGGUGGGGGUUGGAAAGUUUCGGCGGUUGGGGAUGGACUCGCGGCUUAUCAGCUUGUUGGUGGGGUAGUGGCUUACCAAGGCUUUGACGGGUAGCCGGCCUGAGAGGGUGACCGGCCACAUUGGGACUGAGAUACGGCCCAGACUCCUACGGGAGGCAGCAGUGGGGAAUAUUGCACAAUGGGCGGAAGCCUGAUGCAGCAACGCCGCGUGCGGGAUGACGGCCUUCGGGUUGUAAACCGCUUUCGCCUGUGACGAAGCGUGAGUGACGGUAAUGGGUAAAGAGGCACCGGCUAACUACGUG